GGAGGGUUGUGGCUCAAUAGAAGAGUCUCUGCUUGGGUUGCAGAAGGUUCCAGGUUCAAUCCCCGGCACGUCCA
rnacentral:tRNA from 1 species